rnacentral:lncRNA from 1 species
GGUCACCACAACAUGAGGAACUGUAUUAAAGGGUCGUGCCAUUAGGAAGGUUGAGAACCACUGGUAUAGAUUAACACAGGAAAGGUGUAGCAAAAAUUUAAUUUUAUAAUCUCUUUCAAUAUAAUAUCCAACACCUUUUCUCAUCAUUGUGAUAGGUUCAUAAUGCCUUCAGCAGCCUCAAAUUUAUUGAUAUCAUGAAUGGAGUGGUGGACUACAUGUAUAAUGUCAAGAACUGUGGGGGAAAUGAAAGGCAUGGCCCCUUGCAGUUUCAAUUUUAAACCAAGAAACUUCCAAUUUGGAAAAAAUAUUUCUCCACUGACCUUCUGCCCUGCAUAGACUGUGUGAUGUUAAUGUGAAUAUGCAGCACAUGGAAAGGCAAUAUUCCUUACAGCAAGAAUGCAGAAACCACAGCCCAUACCCCAUGAGCUGUGGUUUGUGCAUUCUUGAUGAAUGUGGCAGUCAGUUGAUUUGUUGAUGGUCUGCCUUAUUAUGACUUGUUAAAAUAAGUCACACAACCAACAAAAUAUUUGUAGUUUUGAAUAAUGCAUUUUCAAAUAUUUUUCUGAUAUAAAAUUAUGUUUACAGUGGUUCAACAAUAAUGUUUUUAAAC